UCCUUGUUGUUGUGUAGAGCUGUAACUGCUAUCACUAGCACUUAAUGAAGGCGGGGGCAUAGAAUAUUGGCUAGGAUAUCCUCCACCGCCGGUGUAAUCUCCAGACGCGUAAGCUACAAUUUCACAUAAACGAAGCAGAGCCAAACAUUGUCACCCUAAGCCCUCGAACAUUUUUUUAGGCUGACAGCUGACGUAGAGAAGAACGAGAUAUACCGCAUCCCCUCGAGCUUCCUUAUCAGAUUGGAUUUACCUCUCUUUAAAGUCCAAUGGAAAAUAGAUUUAAUAGACUUAUUAAUAAAGUUUAAUUUCUAUCCACACAUUUUUCCAGUACGCUAUCUAGGCUUGUAUAAAAAAUCCUUGGUACAAACUAGAUCGUUUCCGUCGUCAGUGUUGUCCUCCUCAGUGAAAUUAACCACUGGAUCUGGUUUUGAAUUCCCUUCAUGUACUAUUUUGAAAGUUAUGGAACGUGGCUAGCGGAAUUUUUAGGUUUCUUCAGUUAGUGCUGAAGUACAAAAUUAUGCCACUUUUUUUUUGUUCAUAGUUGUUACAGUUAAACUGGCCAAAAACGCCCAUGUUCAUCUGAGUCAAUGUAGGAUUCUAAUGAUGACGAUGAUGAAAGACUUUUUCAAAUGAUAGUAAUAUUACGCUUAGAAAAAGCAUUUUUAGGAGUUUCAAAUUAUGAUGUAUUUUCAAAGUAGGUACCUAUCUAUGAUUAGGAUAUAGAUGUUAAGAAAUCAAUACCAAUGUUAAUUUAAGAACUUAUUUAUUUUAAACAUGAUACAAGUGACCAGAUUUUUAUGCUUAACAUAAUAAUUUUAAAGGUCUAAAUGAAAGAAUUGACCAUUGUAUUAAUGAUAAUGCGCGAUAUACCUACUCACUCUACUUUGUUGUAGUUCAAAAAAGACAAAUCUUAAGUAAUCGAAUUUCAAAUACAAUCAUUCAUAAAAAUAUUAGCCGAGAGCUUUUCAAUAAAAUUAUUUUAUGUUUUGUUUUUCUGGAUACAAUUCAUUAAACCAUGUUGAUGAAAUAUCACAUAUCCCAUAAUCUAACUGUGAAAAUUGUACGAAAAUCUGUUUUGUAGUUCCAUAGAUAAAAGCGAACAGACACACAGAGUAAAGUUUUAUUCAAAGUAGGUACAGACAUUCAGAUUGUAUCCUUUUAUAAAGUACAUAAUAUAUAAAAUAAAAAAAAAACAUUAACAAUGCAGGCCAAAUAUUUACUAAUCAGUAGACUUUAUUUAAAAUAAAACACACUGUAAAACCUAAUACAUAAUAAAAAGAGCAGCCU